rnacentral:rRNA from 1 species
CAUGGCGUCUUACCAAACCAUGGCAAACUCCGAAUACUUGGAAGCAAGAGCACGGGAGACAGAGCACCGGGUGCUAACGUCCGGACUCAAGAGGGAAACAACCCAGACCGCCGUUUAAGGUCCCAAAUAUUGACUAAGUGGAAAACGAAGUGUGAAGGCUAAGACAGUCAGGAAGUUGGCUUAGAAGCAGCCAUCCUUCAAAGAAAGCGUAAUAGCUCACUGAUCGAGUCCUCAUGCGCGGAAGAUGUAACGGGGCUAAGUCAAUAACCGAAAGCGCGGAUUUGUACGAAAGUACAAGUGGUAGGGGAGCGUUCUGUAAGCCUGCGAAGGUGGUUCGAGAGGACUGCUGGAGGUAUCAGAAGUGCGAAUGCUGACAUGAGUAACGUUAAAGCGGGUGAAAAGCCCGCUCGCCGUAAGCCCAAGGUUUCCUGCUCUACGUUCAUCGGAGCAGGGUGAGUCGGCCCCUAAGGCCAGGCUGAGAAGCGUAGUCGAUGGGAAGCAGAUUAAUAUUUCUGCACCAUGUGCAAGUGCGAUGGGGGGACGGAGUGCGAAAGAUCAUCCGGGUGUUGGAUGUCCCGGUUUGUGAGUGUAGAAGGCCGACAGGCAAAUCCGUCGGCGGAUCUUCGAGACAAAGCAUCGAGGUUCUACGGAACCGAAGUGAUCGGAAGUGCUUCCAGGAAAAGCCUCUAAGCUCCAGCUUGCAUGUGACCGUACCGUAAACCGACACUGGUGGGCGAGUUGAAUAUACUCAGGCGCUUGAGAGAACUCGGGAGAAGGAACUCGGCAAAUUGACACCGUAACUUCGGGAUAAGGUGUGCCUUUGUAGCGUGAAGAGAGAAACACUCGGAGCGUGAAGAGGCCUCAGAGAAUCGGUGGCUGCAACUGUUUAUUAAAAACACAGCACUCUGCAAAGACGAAAGUCGACGUAUAGGGUGUGAUGCCUGCCCGGUGCUGGAAGAUUAAGUGAUGGGGUGAGAGCUCCUGAUCGAAGUCCCAGUAAACGGCGGCCGUAACUAUAACGGUCCUAAGGUAGCGAAAUUCCUUGUC